rnacentral:misc_RNA from 1 species
ACACACAUACGCGUGCGCGCACACACAGAGACACACGACAGCAGAAUAAGCAGCCAUCGACAUCGACAAGGACGCUGAAGCGAAACAUGUCGGCCGCGCAGAACGGGAGCGCCACCUCCACGCCGGCGCAGCAGGGCAAGCCUGAGCCAAUCGCUGCCCCUGUCGCGGGUGAGGGCAGCACGUCUGGCGGCUACGCGUUCGACCCUGACGCGCUGCGCAACUUGAUCGUCAACUACCUUCCACCGCUGAUGAAUGAGGCGCAGGUGUACGAGCUGUUUGGCCAGUUUGGCAGGAUCGAGAGUGUUAAGAUUAUUUACGACAAAAUCACUGGCGAGAGUCGUGGCUACGGGUUUGUGAAGUACCAAUUCUUCUUCUCCGCCACCUACGCAGUGUCCUGCUUGAACCGGUUUGAGAUUGGCGGCAAGAAGCUGAAGGUGGCAUACGCGAACGCCCCGGCCGCGAAGGAGGCGUACGACAUGCUUCGACUCUCGGCAGUUGCGCUGAGCAUGCAGCAGCAGCAAGCCAUGCAGUCCAUGUACUACCACCAGAUGGUUCUUGCGCAAGAGCAGCAGGGGGCGCCAGCCGCGAGCUCGGUUGCCGCCUCGGCUCCGAUGGUUGGUGGCGCCGACUACGGCCCAUACAUGAACAGAGUGGGCGGCGGCUACGCGAUGAGGCAGCGCGAAAGCGGUGCCGGCUAUGCUCGAGGCAUAUACCCGGGGAUGGUGGCAGGCAGUUCCGUGUACCUUGCCGGCCCGUCCGCAAGUGGUAGUCGGAGUAUCACCCCUGCCAUUGCUCCGAUCGGCUUCUGAGCUCAUCUGUGCUGCCGCUUAGGGUGGAGGCUGUCGCACUCUCCUUGUAUGCCGCGGGCUGCUUUAUUCCCCCCUUUUUUCCGAAAAUUUCUAAUUUUUUUACCCAAAGUCUUCGUCACUCUGUUUUCCGCUGCCCUUGACGGAGCUGGUGGCAUCUCUUCUCUUUCUCCUGGCUCUGCACGCGGCGAUUCCUGAAGGAAAACCAACAAACAGCGCGAAACGAAAAAGGUAUGCGCGCACACACACACAAGCAUAUAUAUAUAUAUAUGUGCAUAAACACAGGAAAAGGGAGAAAGGAAUCGCCCCGCCGCUCCACCGGCACAACCACGAUCUUUGCCCCUCUCCGUCUCUCUUACUUGUGAUGAUGCUUCUCGUUGUCCGUUGUUGCCUGCUGUUGUUGUUGUUGUGUAAUGCCGAGCCAUUCUCCUGCGGCCUCUUCUGUUUUGUGUAUUUAAACACUUUCGUCUUUUCUGUUGUCGCUCCUUUUUCCACUUCGUUAACAG